UACGUAGGGUGCAAGCGUUGUCCGGAAUUAUUGGGCGUAAAGAGCUCGUAGGCGGUUUGUUGCGUCGGCUGUGAAAUCCCGAGGCUCAACCUCGGGUCUGCAGUCGAUACGAGCAAACUAGAGUGUUGCAGGGGAGACUGGAAUUCCUGGUGUAGCGGUGAAAUGCGCAGAUAUCAGGAGGAACACCGGUGGCGAAGGCGGGUCUCUGGGCAACAACUGACGCUGGAGGAGCGAAAGCCGGUGGGGAGCGAACAGG
rnacentral:rRNA from 1 species